CGUUGGCGGGGGGGGGCGCCUCGCGCGCCGCUCGCGCUCCCUCAGGGACAGCCCGGCCCGGCCCGGCCCGGCCCCGCUGCCUCCCUGGGCGCCCCGGGGCCUGCUCCGCUCCCCUCCCGCCCCGCCAGCCCCAGCACGGGCUCCCGCCUUGCCCCCGCGGCGGCUGGCUGCCGUGCCCGGCCUGGCUGCUGAGCCCUGCGCGCCUCCGCAGCUGCUGGCGGCCCCCGCUCCCAGCCGGGCCGUUGUGCAGAGGCGCGAUCGCUCGGUCCGCGGCGGCGAGGCAGGGAGGACAAAGCCGGGGGUUAACGCCGCGUCUCCCCUGAAAUGAGGUUUCGCUGUUGGGGAGGGAAGAGGAUGAACAACAGGGUCGUUGCUGCUGCUGUGAGGCGUAAAACGCUCUUUCUGCUCUCGUGCGGGACAAAACCGGCUUGCUGCCAUUUUAGAAAGGCCCCAGAUGGAGCUUUUGGAGGAGUUUCUGCAUGGGAGAUGCGAAACGUCCUUGAGUGCACCUUGCCGGGUUGGGAGAGCUCGGUUGCUGCUGCGGGCUGUCGGCAUGGGCAGCCGACAAGCGGAGGAUGCACCUCCUCCUCCUCCUCCUCCUCCUCCUCUCCAUUGCCUUGCCUGCCGGCUGCCUGCGGAACAGGGCAGCUGCCACGGCUGACAGCAAAUGGAAUAAACAGUGAAGAGUAAAGAAGUUUUAAACGGUCUUUGAUUAAACUGAUUCAGAAAUAGAACCAAGCAACUAUACUAAUUGGAAAUACAUGGCACCAAGUCGUCUGUUGGGGUAAACUGGCACAGCUUCAUCAAAAUGCUGUGCUGCACCUUUUGACACCAGAAGACAGUGUGCUUAUGGUAUAUUAUCCCGGUGACAUGCUGAAGGUUGCAAUCCAGGCGUGUUAGAGAUGUUCUCCACUUAAUAUAGUGCAGAUUGCAUCUACUCCUGUCUUCACUUCCCAUGUGUGACCUACAAAUGCUGCAGACUCUGUGCAGUCACAUCUAGGAGUCCAUCACCAGGGUGAGGAGGCACCAGCAGUGCUGUACAUCACCUAGUAGGCAUCAGAUCUGGGAGAAGAAAAUUACAACUGCGAUUUUUAUUAUCACUUUGCCACAACCUCUUUUCCUAUGAUUCAUAUGGCCUUAAGAGAUUAGUUUUCUUUACCAUUUAACCUUUCUCAAUAUUGCUGCCUGAACCAAAUUUAUGUCUAGGAUAAAGCUAUGUCCUCUUUUUAUUGAAUCCAGGUACUUUUCAUAAUGAAACUAAGGUCAUGUGAUCUUUCAUUAUGGUACUUUGAAUUCUUUAUUGAAAAUGUAUAUUAUAUAUUUUUAUGACAUUAAUUAAAUGUCUCAAAAUAAAUGACGACAUAAAAAAUAA